rnacentral:rRNA from 1 species
CUCUGCGGCUGGAUCACCUCCUUAGAGUUUGAUCCUGGCUCAGGAUGAACGCUGGCGGCGUGCUUAACACAUGCAAGUCGAACGGUGAAGCAGAGCUUGCUCUGUGGAUCAGUGGCGAACGGGUGAGUAACACGUGAGCAAUCUGCCCCUGACUCUGGGAUAACAGCUGGAAACAGCUGCUAAUACCGGAUACGAGCUGCGAAGGCAUCUUCAGCAGCUGGAAAGAAUUUCGGUCAGGGAUGAGCUCGCGGCCUAUCAGCUUGUUGGUGAGGUAACGGCUCACCAAGGCGUCGACGGGUAGCCGGCCUGAGAGGGUGACCGGCCACACUGGGACUGAGACACGGCCCAGACUCCUACGGGAGGCAGCAGUGGGGAAUAUUGCACAAUGGGCGAAAGCCUGAUGCAGCAACGCCGCGUGAGGGACGACGGCCUUCGGGUUGUAAACCUCUUUUAGCAGGGAAGAAGCGAAAGUGACGGUACCUGCAGAAAAAGCACCGGCUAACUACGUGCCAGCAGCCGCGGUAAUACGUAGGGUGCAAGCGUUAUCCGGAAUUAUUGGGCGUAAAGAGCUCGUAGGCGGUUUGUCGCGUCUGCUGUGAAAACUGGAGGCUCAACCUCCAGCCUGCAGUGGGUACGGGCAGACUAGAGUGCGGUAGGGGAGAUUGGAAUUCCUGGUGUAGCGGUGGAAUGCGCAGAUAUCAGGAGGAACACCGAUGGCGAAGGCAGAUCUCUGGGCCGUAACUGACGCUGAGGAGCGAAAGGGUGGGGAGCAAACAGGCUUAGAUACCCUGGUAGUCCACCCCGUAAACGUUGGGAACUAGUUGUGGGGUCCAUUCCACGGAUUCCGUGACGCAGCUAACGCAUUAAGUUCCCCGCCUGGGGAGUACGGCCGCAAGGCUAAAACUCAAAGGAAUUGACGGGGACCCGCACAAGCGGCGGAGCAUGCGGAUUAAUUCGAUGCAACGCGAAGAACCUUACCAAGGCUUGACAUAUACGAGAACGGGCCAGAAAUGGUCAACUCUUUGGACACUCGUAAACAGGUGGUGCAUGGUUGUCGUCAGCUCGUGUCGUGAGAUGUUGGGUUAAGUCCCGCAACGAGCGCAACCCUCGUUCUAUGUUGCCAGCACGUAAUGGUGGGGAACUCAUGGGAUACUGCCGGGGUCAACUCGGAGGAAGGUGGGGAUGACGUCAAAUCAUCAUGCCCCUUAUGUCUUGGGGCUUCACGCAUGCUACAAUGGCCGGUACAAAGGGCUGCAA